rnacentral:rRNA from 1 species
AGAGUUUGAUCAUGGCUCAGGAUGAACGCUAGCGGCAGGCUUAACACAUGCAAGUCGAUGGGCAUCAUUGGAGUAGCAAUACUUCAGAUGGCGACCGGCGCACGGGUGCGUAACGCGUAUGCAACCUACCUUUAACAGGGGGAUAACACUGAGAAAUCGGUACUAAUACCCCAUAACAUCGCAGACGGCAUCGUUUGCGGUUGAAAACUCCGGUGGUUAGAGAUGGGCAUGCGUUGUAUUAGCUGGUUGGUGAGGUAACGGCUCACCAAGGCGACGAUACAUAGGGGGACUGAGAGGUUAACCCCCCACAUUGGUACUGAGACACGGACCAAACUCCUACGGGAGGCAGCAGUGAGGAAUAUUGGUCAAUGGACGCAAGUCUGAACCAGCCAUGCCGCGUGCAGGAUGACGGCUCUAUGAGUUGUAAACUGCUUUUGUACGAGGGUAAACGCAGAUACGUGUAUCUGUCUGAAAGUAUCGUACGAAUAAGGAUCGGCUAACUCCGUGCCAGCAGCCGCGGUAAUACGGAGGAUCCAAGCGUUAUCCGG